UGGGGAAUAUUGCACAAUGGAGGGAACCCUGAUGCAGCGACGCCGCGUGAACGAAGAAGGCUUUCGAGUCGUAAAGUUCUUUUAUAUGGGAAGAUAAUGACGGUACCAUAAGAAAAAGCCCCGGCUAACUACGUGCCAGCAGCCGCGGUAAUACGUAGGGGGCUAGCGUUGUCCGGAAUCACUGGGCGUAAAGGGUUCGCAGGCGGAAAUGCAAGUCAGGUGUAAAAUGCAGUAGCUUAACUACUGUAAGCAUUUGAAACUGCAUAUCUUGAGAAGAGUAGAGGUAAGUGGAAUUUUUAGUGUAGCGGUGAAAUGCGUAGAUAUUAGAAAGAAUACCGGUGGCGAAGGCGGCUUACUGGGCUCAUUCUGACGCUGAGGAACGAAAGCGUGGGUAGCAAACAGG
rnacentral:rRNA from 1 species